GAUGAACGCUGGCGGCGUGCCUAAUACAUGCAAGUCGAGCGAACAGACGAGGAGCUUGCUCCUCUGACGUUAGCGGCGGACGGGUGAGUAACACGUGGAUAACCUACCUAUAAGACUGGGAUAACUUCGGGAAACCGGAGCUAAUACCGGAUAAUAUAUUGAACCGCAUGGUUCAAUAGUGAAAGACGGUUUUGCUGUCACCUAUAGAUGGAUCCGCGCCGCAUUAGCUAGUUGGUAAGGUAACGGCUUACCAAGGCAACGAUGCGUAGCCGACCUGAGAGGGUGAUCGGCCACACUGGAACUGAGACACGGUCCAGACUCCUACGGGAGGCAGCAGUAGGGAAUCUUCCGCAAAGGGCGAAAGCCUGACGGAGCAACGCCGCGUGAGUGAUGAAGGUCUUCGUAUCGUAAAACUCUGUUAUUAGGGAAGAACAAAUGUGUAAGUAACUAUGCACGUCUUGACGGUACCUAAUCAGAAAGCCACGGCUAACUACGUG
rnacentral:rRNA from 1 species